AUGUUGUUGAUGUUGCUGAUGUAGUGGUAGUAACUUCCCGUAGCCUCGCCUGUCGGGUAUCGCGCCAGGCAGACCCACGCCCACAGCAAGCCUUCGAUCCUCGCUGUCCACCUCAUUGUGAAGCUCCACAGGGGAGUAUCGUCACCUGAGAGGUUGAAAAUCUUCGAGUCGGCCCCUUCAGUGCCGUGUUUGCUGCCAUUGAGGAAGGAUCGGUGUCGGUGUGCCCUGUCCUUAACAAGAGUAUUCCACCCUCAAACUUGCGGGUCUUCAUAAUACGGGUAAUGAAUCAUCCCCAACAAGAUCUAUGCUACAUUAUUCUUGAUCAAAACAUCUGUACCCAAAUUUAGAAGAUGGAAGACAACUAAGUACGGAAACAAACGUAGAAGAGUUUGUACAGAGAGGAAUAUGCAGUGCAAUAGAACUGGAGGAAUAGAGAAGAGAAGAGAAGAGAAGAGAAGAGAAGAGAGAGAGGAGAGAAGACCUUAAUCACCACUUGGUGACAAGGGCCUUCAUGGAGCUCACAGCAGUGCAGGGACUCAACAAUCAUGUGGACUUUCCUUCACACCAGUGUGGAGGCUCUCCCUGGAUCCAGUGCUGAUGGACCUGCCUCAAAAACGUGUUCAGUGCUGCCCUCUUGACUGUGUGGGCAGCUCUGACCAUCAUGCUGUGCUUGCAACUGUCAGUGUUGCCCUGGUGUGUGACGAGGAUCAUCAGUGAGUCACCUGGCUGUGGGACCGCACCAACUGGAUGGCUAUGUGGCAGGCCCCCUGACCUUGACAGACUGGGAAGCAAUAUUCACCGGGGACCUGCACCAUGACACCACUGUCCUCUGCACACUGCAGCAGCAACGCAUGCCACCAACCAAAAGCAUCAUCCCUGGUUCGGGUACAGGUGCAA